rnacentral:lncRNA from 1 species
CUGUACUAUGAUGCAUUAUUUUCAUCAACUUUCUUUUAUUGCAAAGGCUUUACAGUCGGGGUAGACACCUGUACUCAGUUUGCAAUUUGAUACAAUUUUCAAUAAUCCUUUAUAUGUGAACUAUCUAUAUUUAUGUCAGAUAACAGAGUUAGCUCUCAAUUUAGGCUGAAUGAACUAAGGUUUUAAAUCGUUGCAUUGGAAGAUCCAACUUAAUCAUCCAUAUGCAAAAUUUAAAAUAUAUGUGUUAAAGGAAUUCUAGGUAUGUGACCUUGCAUCUGAAAUCUUUGACAACUUAGUUGACUUUAAGUAACACUAAAUUGUAAGGAAGGAAAAGUACUACAUAAGGAUAUCAUACCAUAACUACAACAGAAGAAUAUAACUCUCGAAAGAUAUAAACCAAUAUUUUAACCUGUAUAUGAAUCCUGCCUAAAACUUGUCCUCCAGGGUUUUUUUGUUUUUUAUCCAGUAAACAUGUAUGCAUUUGGGUAACUGUUUAUUAACAUACUACGAAUGACUACAAUUU